GUGCCAGCAGCCGCGGUAAUACGUAGGGGGCGAGCGUUGUCCGGAAUUACUGGGCGUAAAGAGCAUGUAGGCGGGUAUUUAAGUCAGCUGUGAAAACUAUCGGCUCAACCGGUAGACUGCAGUUGAUACUGGAUAUCUUGAGGGUAUGAGAGGGCAGUGGAAUUCCUAGUGUAGCGGUGAAAUGCGUAGAUAUUAGGAGGAACACCAGUGGCGAAGGCGACUGCCUGGCAUACAACUGACGCUGAGAUGCGAAAGCGUGGGGAGCAAACAGGAUUAGAUACCCUGGUAGUCCACGCCGUAAACGAUGGGUACUAGGUGUAGGAGGUAUCGACCCCUUCUGUGCCGCAGUUAACACAUUAAGUACCCCGCCUGGGGAGUACGGCCGCAAGGUUGAA
rnacentral:rRNA from 1 species